rnacentral:rRNA from 1 species
UACACACCGCCCGUCACAUCACGAAAGCCCGUUGUACUAGAAGCCGGUAAUUCACGCAAGGAGAUAGCCGUCCAAGGUAUGACUGGUGAUUGGGGUG